rnacentral:rRNA from 1 species
GACGAACGCUGGCGGCGUGCCUAACACAUGCAAGUCGAGCGGGGUCCAUCCGGUAGCAAUACCGGGGAAGACCUAGCGGCGAACGGGUGAGUAACACGUGAGAAACCUGCCCCGAAGUCUGGGAUAACCCGAGGAAACUCGAGCUAAUACCGGAUGUCUUCUUCUGAUCGCAUGGUCGGAUGAAGAAAGAUUUAUCGCUUCGGGAGGGUCUCGCGGCCUAUCAGCUAGUUGGCGGGGUAACGGCCCACCAAGGCGUCGACGGGUAGCUGGUCUGAGAGGACGAUCAGCCACACUGGGACUGAGACACGGCCCAGACUCCUACGGGAGGCAGCAGUGGGGAAAAUUGCGCAAUGGGCGAAAGCCUGACGCAGCAACGCCGCGUGCGGGAUGAAGGCCUCGGGUUGU